CAAGUCGAACGGGACUGCGACCGCAAGGAAGCAGUUCAGUGGCGAAAGGGCGAGUAAUACAUCGAUCAUCUGCCCUUGGGACCGGAAUAACACCUGGAAACGGGUGCUAAUGCCGGAUGGUCCAGCAAUGGUAAACGGUGGGGACCGCAAGGCCUACCGCCCAGGGAGGAGUCGAUGCCCUAUCAGCUAGUUGGUGAGGUAACGGCUCACCAAGGCGAAGACGGGUAGCCGGACUGAGAGGUUGGUCGGCCGCACUGGGACUGGGACACUGCCCAGACUCCUACGGGAGGCUGCAGUCGAGGAUCUUCCGCAAUGGGGGCAACCCUGACGGAGCGACGCCGCGUGCAGGAUGAAGGCCUUCGGGUCGUAAACUGCUGUCACACGUUAUGAAAAAGUGUGGACUAACACUCCGCACCUUGACAAAGGCGUGAAAGGAAGCCACGGCUAACUUCGUGCCAGCAGCCGCGGUAAGACGAAGGUGGCUAGCGUUGCUCGGAUUUACUGGGCAUAAAGCGCGCGUAGGUGGUCCUGUAAGCGAGAGAUGAAAGCCCAUGGCUCACCCAUGGAACUGUCCCUCGGACUGCAGGGCUGGAGGGCGGGAGGGGAGAAUGGAAUUCCCGGUGUAGCGGUGAAAUGCGUAGAUAUCGGGAGGAACGCCGGUGGCGAAAGCGAUUCUCUGGCCCGUUCCUGACACUGAUGCGCGAAAGCUAGGGGAGCAAACAGGAUUAGAUACCCUGGUAGUCCUAGCUGUAAACGAUGGGCACUGGGUAGAGGUGGUGUCGAUACCGUCUCUGCCGAAGCAAAUGUGUUAAGUGCCCCGCCUGGGGAGUACGGU
rnacentral:rRNA from 1 species